CAAGCCAUCCUCCUGCCUCAGCCUCUCUAGUAGCUGGGACUAUAGGCGUGUGCCACCAUGCCCAGCUAAUUUAUUUUUUGUAGAGAUGGGGUCUCACCAUAUUGUCCAGGCUGGUCUCAAACCCUGGCCACAACCAACCUUUCUGCCUUGGCCUCCCAGAGUGCUGGGAUUACAGGCAUGGGCCACCACACCCAGCCCCUG
rnacentral:lncRNA from 10 species